GAUAAACGCUGGCGGCGCACAUAAGACAUGCAAGUUGAACGGACUUAAUCGAAAUAUUUAUCUUUUGAAGCGGUUAGUGGCGGACUGGUGAGUAACGCGUAAGGAACCUGCCUAUUAGAGGGGAAUAACAGUGAGAAAUCAUUGCUAAUACCGCAUAUGCCAUAGAUAUCACAUGAUAACAGUGGGAAAGGAGCAAUCCGCUAAUAGAUGGCCUUGCGUCUGAUUAGAUAGUUGGUGGGGUAACGGCCUACCAAGUCGACGAUCAGUAGCCGGACUGAGAGGUUGAACGGCCACAUUGGGAAUGAGAUACGGCCCAGACUCCUACGGGAGAGAGCAGUCGGGAAUAUUGCGCAAUGGAGGAAACUCUGACGCAGUGACGCAGCGUAUAGGAAGAAGGUUUUCGGAUUGUAAACUAUUGUCGUUAGGGAAGAGAAAGGACAGUACCUAAGGAGGAAGCUCCGGCUAACUACGUG
rnacentral:rRNA from 1 species